AUGGUUGAUCAAUGAUUAAGAAUCAUUCUAGGGUUAAAUGAUCAAUACAAUUGACAUUUAACCCAGUGCAAGUGUUGCAGGAGGAUCGAUUAGCAAUUUGAUUGCUAAUUGGCUUAAUUUGAUUAAGCCAAUGGGCUGAGAUUAAGUUUAAUUAAAUAUGAUUUAAUUAGAUUUAUUUGACUUGAUUGGAUCAAGUCCAAUUGGUUUAUUGGAUAAGCCAAGUGC
rnacentral:lncRNA from 1 species